GACGAACGCUGGCGGCGUGCCUAAUACAUGCAAGUAGAACGCACAGUUUAUACCUUCGCUUGCUACACCAUAGACUGUGAGUUGCGAACGGUUGAGUAACGCGUAGGUAACCUGCCUGGUAGCGGGGGAUAACUAUUGGAAACGAUAGCUAAUACCGCAUAAUAUUGAUUAUUGCUUGAUAAUUGAUUGAAAGAUGCUAUUGCAUCACUACCAGAUGGUCCUGCGUUGUAUUAGCUAGUAGGUGAGGUAACGGCUCAACUAGGCGAAGAUACAUAGCCGAACUGAGAGGGUGAACGGCCAAAAUGGGAAUGAGACAAGGCACAGAAUGCUAAGGGAGGCAGCAGGAGGGAAACUUCGGAAAUGGACGAAAGUCUGAACGAGAAACGCCGAGGGAGUGAAGAAGGUUUUCGGAUCGGAAAGCUCUGUUGUAAGAGAAGAAAGGGAGUGAGAGUGGAAAGUUCACAGUGUGACGGUAACUUAACAGAAAGGGACGGCUAACUACGUG
rnacentral:rRNA from 1 species